rnacentral:rRNA from 1 species
AUUGAACGCUGGCGGCAUGCUUUACACAUGCAAGUCGAACGGCAGCACGGGCUUCGGCCUGGUGGCGAGUGGCGAACGGGUGAGUAAUGCAUCGGAACGUGCCCAUUUGUGGGGGAUAACUACGCGAAAGCGUGGCUAAUACCGCAUACGCCCUGAGGGGGAAAGCGGGGGAUUCUUCGGAACCUCGCGCAAUUGGAGCGGCCGAUGUCAGAUUAGCUUGUUGGUGAGGUAAAGGCUCACUAAGGCGACGAUCUGUAGCGGGUCUGAGAGGAUGAUCCGCCACACUGGGACUGAGACACGGCCCAGACUCCUACGGGAGGCAGCAGUGGGGAAUUUUGGACAAUGGGGGCAACCCUGAUCCAGCCAUGCCGCGUGAGUGAAGAAGGCCUGGUUGU